GGUCCGUUGGUCAAGGGGUUAAGACCCCGCCUUUUCACGGCGGUAACACGGGUUCGAAUCCCGUACGGACUA
rnacentral:tRNA from 4 species